rnacentral:lncRNA from 1 species
GACAUCCUCUUCUCCUUCUCCUUCUAAAUUUCUACUUGAUGCCUCCCCGAAAGGCAUCCACCAGGCGAUCCACGACCUCCACGGCCAGAUCUCAACGAUCUCCACAAGACCCGACCUCAUCUCCAGCUUCCCAGGCUCCUCCUCCUCCGACAACAGCAGUCGACAGAUUCAUUCGAUGCCAACCUGAAGGUAGAGAAGAUCGGCCAAGGGCCCUGCUACAACCGGAGCUGUCAAGGAGGGAAGAAAAGCUUGGAGAUCGGCCUCCAAUCGGAAUCAUCAACACUAUCUCUGGAGGGCCCCAGAGGGGAGUGGCCAGU